UACAGAGGUCCCAAGCGUUGUUCGGAUUCACUGGGCGUAAAGGGUGCGCAGGUGGGUUUGCAAGUUCGAUGUGAAAGCCCCGGGCUUAACCCGGGAAUGGCAUUGGAUACUGCAGAUCUGGAGGAUCGGAGGGGGACUGGAAUUCUUGGUGUAGCAGUGAAAUGCGUAGAUAUCAAGAGGAACACCAGUGGCGAAGGCGAGUCCCUGGACGAUACCUGACACUGAGGCACGAAAGCUAGGGGAGCGAACAGG
rnacentral:rRNA from 1 species